CACUGCCAAUUAAUUGUUGUGUCCAAGUAAGUUUUUUUUUUCUACUGUUAUAUCUGUUUUUAACUACUAUUAUACUUUUGUUCUUUGUUUUUAGUGGGUGGUUUCCUGGGUCUCUUUGAUGGAGUUUCUCAGGAUGAAAUUGAGAUAUGGGCUCUUAGGGAUUUGAAGAUGAUGAAGUGGGGUGAAGUUGCAAUCGAUAACUGACAGUGGUAGAUACUUGGUGAAAAGGAACAUAAAUUGGCAAAUGAAUGGGCUUUUGAAGGUGAAAAGAUCAUUCAUGGAAAUCCAUUUGGGAUAGACAAUACAGUUAGCACUAUGGGAAACUUGAUAAAGUUAGAAUCUGGUGCUUAAUUUAACCUCCAUCAAAUCCAAUAUGCCACUGAUAAUGCCAAACAUAGACACAAGAGUUGGUAGAAACACAAAGGCAUUAAUCACGAGUGUUGCAGAAAGAAGAGACAGACAUCCAGACACAAUGGCAUAUGUUGAUUACAUCAGCGUUGAACUCGCAUCCACAAUCCAGUUUUCCUAAUUAUAUAUCUACAAAUGAUGGGCAAAUAACAUCUCUCGUAAUGAUUCAAUAAUUGUUGAUGUUUGCCAAGUGAGUUUACUUUAAAAAAACUUAUAAUGACAAUGCUUAAGUAUUUAUUUUUAUAUUUUGACAGGGGCAAUACAAGUUGACUUUGAUUUUUCCUACAUGUGAGAAGAUAUUACACCCAAAUUCAAUCAGAAUUUACUUAUACGUUUGAUCCAUUCAUGUAUCUGUCAUUACCAAUUCAAUCAGAAUCAAAACCAAGAAUCUUAUUCUUGCUGAACUCAAGUUUGUGACAUUCAAUCAUGUACAUUAUCACGCUCAAUCUUAUCUCAUAUGGGUUCAUACAUGUAAGCUUUUAAUUAAUCCGUCUACAUUUGUAGAUUUCUAUUUCUAUAUUUUGUUUCGUUUUACUCACCUAAUUUAUACCUUAUAACAUCACCUGAUCACACCUGGCACUCGAAUCCAUACAAGGAAAGCUCACUGAAGGUAAGUUCACAUUCUUUAUAAAUCAAAGUUUUCUCUUAUUUUAAUGCACAAUUAGAUUUCAAGAAACAUGUGAACAUGUGGUAUCAUCUAUAGAUUUGAAUAUUAUUCCAAUUUA